ensembl:miRNA
UCUGGGCGGGGGGGCGGGCUCUCAGAGGGGUUGGCAGUACUGCUCUGAGGCCUGCCUCUCCCCAG